GAAAUGCGAUAAUUAAUGUGAAUUGCAGAAUUCAGUGAAUCAUCGAGUCUUUGAACGCACAUUGCGCCCCCUGGUAUUCCGGGGGGCAUGCCUGUCCGAGCGUCAUUGCUGCCCUCAAGCACGGCUUGUGUGUUGGGCUUCCGUCCCUGGCAACGGGGACGGGCCCAAAAGGCAGUGGCGGCACCAUGUCUGGUCCUCGAGCGUAUGGGGCUUUGUCACCCGCUCCCGUAGGUCCAGCUGGCAGCUAGCCUCGCAACCAAUCUUUUUAACCAGGUUGACUUCGGAUCAGGUAGGGAUACCCGCUGAACUUAAGC
rnacentral:misc_RNA from 1 species